GACGAACGCUGGCGGCGUGCCUAAUACAUGCAAGUCGGACGCAGUUGCGAGCGGGAGAGUAACGCGUAGGUAACUACCUAUUAGAGGGGGAUAACUAUUGGAAACGAUAGCUAAUACCGCAUACAGGUAGAUGGACCUGCGUUGUAUUAGCUAGUAGGUAGGGUAAAGGCCUACCUAGGCAACGAUACAGAGCCGGCCUGGGGAGGUGGUCGGGCACAAUGGGAAUGGGACACGGCCCAGACUCCCUACGGAGGCCGCAGUAGGGGAACAUCGGCAAUGGGGCGAAACCUGACUGAGGCACUGCGCGGGAGUGGAGAAGGGUUUCGGAUUGUAAAGCUAUGUUGAUCAGGAAGCGGUACUUGACCAAGAAGGAACGGCUAACUACGUGCCAGCAGCCGCGGUAAUAC
rnacentral:rRNA from 1 species